GCCUGGGUGGCUUAGUCAGUUAAAGCACCUCAUUGGUAAUGAGGAGAGCGGCGGUGCAAAUCCGCCCCCAGGCUCCA
rnacentral:tRNA from 1 species